AGUAUUAUAGCUCAGUUGGUAGAGCAUGAGACUGUAAAUCUCAGACUCAUAAGUUCAUAUAGCUGAAAGAGUCCAGCAUUGCAGGGGGUUCGAUUAGUUGGCCCUCGUGUUCCCUUCCAACUCUG